rnacentral:rRNA from 1 species
GAUGAACGCUGGCGGCGUGCCUAACACAUGCAAGUCGAGCGAAGCGCUUAAAUUAGAUUUCUUCGGAAUGACGAUUUUUGUGACUGAGCGGCGGACGGGUGAGUAACGCGUGGGUAACCUGCCUCAUACAGGGGGAUAACAGUUAGAAAUGACUGCUAAUACCGCAUAAGACCCCAGCUUCGCAUGAAGCGGUGGUAAAAACUCCGGUGGUAUGAGAUGGACCCGCGUCUGAUUAGCUAGUUGGUAAGGUAACGGCUUACCAAGGCGACGAUCAGUAGCCGACCUGAGAGGGUGACCGGCCACAUUGGUACUGAGACACGGCCCAGACUCCUACGGGAGGCAGCAGUGGGGAAUAUUGCACAAUGGGGGAAACCCUGAUGCAGCGACGCCGCGUGAAGGAUGAAGUAUUUCGGUAUGUAAACUUCUAUCAGCAGGGAAGAAAGUGACGGUACCUGACUAAGAAGCCCCGGCUAACUACGUG